UACGGGGGGGGCAAGCGUUGUUCGGAAUUACUGGGCGUAAAGGGCUCGUAGGCGGCCAACUAAGUCGGACGUGAAAUCCCCAGGCUCAACCUGGGAACUGCGUCCGAUACUGGAUGGCUUGAAUUCGGGAGAGGGAUGCAGAAUUCCAGGUGUAGCGGUGAAAUGCGUAGAUAUCAUCUGGAACGCCAAUGGUGAAAACAGCUCGCUGGGGGUUUGCAGACGCUGAGACACGAAAGCCAGGGGAGCGAACGGG
rnacentral:rRNA from 1 species